UACGAAGGGGGCUAGCGUUGCUCGGAAUCACUGGGCGUAAAGGGUGCGUAGGCGGGUUUUUAAGUCAGGGGUGAAAUCCUGGAGCUCAACUCCAGAACUGCCUUUGAUACUGGCGAUCUCGAGUCCGGGAGAGGUGAGUGGAACUGCGAGUGUAGAGGUGAAAUUCGUAGAUAUUCGCAAGAACACCAGUGGCGAAGGCGGCUCACUGGCCCGGUACUGACGCUGAGAUGCGAAAGCGUGGGGAGCAAACAGG
rnacentral:rRNA from 1 species